CUAAAAGCUCAGUCAGUUAGAGUGUGGUGCUGAUAACACCAAGGUUGCGGGUUCGAUUCCCAUUUGG
rnacentral:tRNA from 1 species